rnacentral:rRNA from 1 species
CCCCACUGCUAUCGAGGUAGGACUAAAACAUGCUAGUCGAACGACCAGAACCAUGUCUGGUAGUGGCGUACUGCUCAGUAACACGUAGCUAACCUACCCUUAGGACGGAGACAACCCCGGGAAACUGGGGCUAAUCUCCGAUAGGUGUGAUGUCCUGGAAUGGUAUUACACCCAAUGGUGCUAACAGCACGUUGUUAUCAUGCCUAAGGAUGGGGCUGCGGCUGAUCAGGCAGUUGGUGAGGUAACGGCUCACCAAACCUUUGACCAGUACGGGCCAUGAGAGUGGUAGCCCGGAGAUGGGGCACUGAGACAAGGGCCCAGGCCCUACGGGGCGCAGCAGUUGCGAAACCUCCUCAAUGCACUCACGUGCGAAGGGGUUACCUCGAGUGCUAUCUGAUGAAGGUAGCUUUUACAUUGUUUAACAAGCAAUUUGAAUAAGAGGGGGGCAAGACUGGUGUCAGCCGCCGCGGUAACACCAGCCCCUCGAGUGGUGGGGAUGAUUAUUUGGCCUAAAGCGUCCGUAGCCGGCCGUGUAAGUCUCCCGUUAAAUCCAGCGUCUCAAGCGUUGGACUGCGAGAGAUACUGCAUGGAUAGAGGGUGGGAGAGGUCAGCGGUAUUCUGGGGGUAGGGGCGAAAUCCUUUGAUCCCUGGAGGACCACCAGUGGCGAAGGCUGCUGACAAAAACACGCCUGACGGUCAGGGACGAAAGCUGGGGUAGCGAACCGGAUUAGAUACCCGGGUAGUCCCAGCCGUAAACGAUGCAUGCUAGGUGUUGGGUUGGCCAUGAGCCGCCUCAGUGCCGCAGGGAAGCCGAUAAGCAUGCCGCCUGGGGAGUACGGCCGCAAGGCUGAAACUUAAAGGAAUUGGCGGGGGAGCACCAACAGGCGUGAGGCCUGCGGUUU